CUACGGGACGCUGCAGUGGGGAAUAUUGCACAAUGAGCGAAAGCUUGAUGCAGCCAUACCGCGUGUGUGAAGAAGGCCCGAGGGUUGUAAAGCACUUUCAAUUGGGAGGAAGAUAGAGUAGUUAAUACCUGCUUUAUUUGACGUUACCUUUAGAAGAAGCACCGGCUAACUCUGUGCCAGCAGCCGCGGUAAUACAGAGGGUGCAAGCGUUAUUCGGAAUUACUGGGCGUAAAGCGCGCGUAGGCGGAUUAGUAAGUCAGUUGUGAAAGCCCUGGGCUCAACCUAGGAACUGCAUCUGAUACUGCUAGUCUAGAGUUGAGUAGAGGGAAGGGGAAUUCCAGGUGUAGCAGUGAAAUGCGUAGAUAUCUGGAGGAACAUCAGUGGCGAAGGCGCCUUCCUGGACUAAAACUGACGCUGAGGUGCGAAAGCGUGGGUAGCGAACGGGAUUAGAUACCCGGGUAGUC
rnacentral:rRNA from 1 species